rnacentral:rRNA from 1 species
GACGAACGCUGGCGGCGUGCUUAACACAUGCAAGUCGAUCGGUAACAGGUGUAGCAAUACAUGCUGACGAGAGGCGGACGGGUGAGUAAUGCUUGGGAAUCUGCCUAUUAGUGGGGGACAACCCGGGGAAACUCGAGCUAAUACCGCAUACGCUCUACGGAGGAAAGCCGGGGACCGCAAGGCCUGGCGCUAAUAGAUGAGCCCAAGUCGGAUUAGCUAGUUGGUAGGGAACGGCCUACCAAGGCGACAAUCCGUAGCUGGUCUGAGAGGACGACCAGCCACACCGGAACUGAGACACGGUCCGGACUCCUACGGGAGGCAGCAGUGGGGAAUAUUGGACAAUGGGGGCAACCCUGAUCCAGCGACGCCGCGUGGGUGAAGAAGGCCUGCGGGUUGUAAAGCCCGUUUCGGUGGGGAAGAAAAGUCUCGACCUAAUACGUCGGGACCUUGACGUAACCACUAAAGAAG